GACGAACGCUGGCGGCGUGCUUAACACAUGCAAGUCGAACGGAAAGGCCCUGCUUUUGUGGGGUGCUCGAGUGGCGAACGGGUGAGUAACACGUGAGUAACCUGCCCUUGACUUUGGGAUAACUUCAGGAAACUGGGGCUAAUACCGGAUAGGAGCUCCUGCUGCAUGGUGAGGGUUGGAAAGUUUCGGCGGUUGGGGAUGGACUCGCGGCUUAUCAGCUUGUUGGUGGGGUAGUGGCUUACCAAGGCUUUGACGGGUAGCCGGCCUGAGAGGGUGACCGGCCACAUUGGGACUGAGAUACGGCCCAGACUCCUACGGGAGGCAGCAGUGGGGAAUAUUGCACAAUGGGCGGAAGCCUGAUGCAGCAACGCCGCGUGCGGGAUGACGGCCUUCGGGUUGUAAACCGCUUUCGCCUGUGACGAAGCGUGAGUGACGGUAAUGGGUAAAGAAGCACCGGCUAACUACGUGCCAGCAGCCGCGGUGAUACGUAGGGUGCGAGCGUUGUCCGGAUUUAUUGGGCGUAAAGGGCUCGUAGGUGGUUGAUCGCGUCGGAAGUGUAAUCUUGGGGCUUAACCCUGAGCGUGCUUUCGAUACGGGUUGACUUGAGGAAGGUAGGGGAGAAUGGAAUUCCUGGUGGAGCGGUGGAAUGCGCAGAUAUCAGGAGGAACACCAGUGGCGAAGGCGGUUCUCUGGGCCUUUCCUGACGCUGAGGAGCGAAAGCGUGGGGAGCGAACAGGCUUAGAUACCCUGGUAGUCCACGCUGUAAACGGUGGGUGCUAGGUGUGGGGUCCAUUCCACGGGUUCCGUGCCGUAGCUAACGCUUUAAGUACCCCGCCUGGGGAGUACGGCCGCAAGGCUAAAACUCAAAGGAAUUGACGGGGCCCCGCACAAGCGGCGGAGCAUGCGGAUUAAUUCGAUGCAACGCGUAGAACCUUACCUGGGUUUGACAUGGAUCGGGAGUGCUCAGAGAUGGGUGUGCCUCUUUUGGGGUCGGUUCACAGGUGGUGCAUGCCUGUCGUCAGCUCGUGUCGUGAGAUGUUGGGUUAAGUCCCGCAACGAGCGCAACCCUUGUUCACUGUUGCCAGCACGUUAUGGUGGGGACUCAGUGGAGACCGCCGGGGUCAACUCGGAGGAAGGUGGGGAUGACGUCAAGUCAUCAUGCCCCUUAUGUCCAGGGCUUCACGCAUGCUACAAUGGCUGGUACAGAGAGUGGCGAGCCUGUGAGGGUGAGCGAAUCUCGGAAAGCCGGUCUCAGUUCGGAUUGGGGUCUGCAACUCGACCUCAUGAAGUCGGAGUCGCUAGUAAUCGCAGAUCAGCAACGCUGCGGUGAAUACGUUCCCGGG
rnacentral:rRNA from 1 species